AUACGGGGGGUGCGAGCGUUGUCCGGAAUCAUUGGGCGUAAAGAGUUCGUAGGUGGUAUGUUAAGUCUGGUGUUAAAUUCCGAAGCUCAACUUCGGUACGGCACUGGAUACUGGCAAACUUGAAUGCGGUAGAGGUAAAGGGAAUUCCUGGUGUAGCGGUGAAAUGCGUAGAUAUCAGGAGGAACAUCGGUGGCGUAAGCGCUUUACUGGGCCGUAAUUGACACUGAGGAACGAAAGCCGGGGUAGC
rnacentral:rRNA from 1 species